CGCAGUAUGGCGGGCGGGGCCCGGGAGGUGCUCACACUGCAGUUGGGACAUUUUGCCGGUUUUGUGGGCGCGCACUGGUGGAACCAGCAGGAUGCUGCGCUGGGCCAAGCGACCGAUUCCAAGGAGCCCCUGGGAGAGCUGUGCCCCGACGUCCUGUAUCGUACGGGCCGAACGCUGCACGGCCAGGAGACCUACACGCCGCGACUCAUCCUCAUGGAUCUGAAGGGUAGUUUGAGCUCCCUAAAAGAGGAAGGUGGACUCUACAGGGACAAACAGUUGGAUGCUGCAAUAGCAUGGUGUGUAAUUGAUGUAUGGAUAAGGGUGGGGAUCGUGUGUGUACGCAGAACGCUGGAUAACUCUGAUCAGAGUGCAGUUUCUUUGAUCAAUCUCCAAUCUCUUUCAGGCAGGGGAAGCUCACCACACACAAAGAGGAACUCUAUCCCAAGAACCCUUAUCUCCAGGACUUUCUGAGUGCAGAGGUGAGGGCCUCUGUCCUGAACUUUUUAACCCAGUGCUACAACCCGAGGGUCUCCAU
rnacentral:sRNA from 1 species